UCUACAAUGCAACAAAGAAUCAUCUGGCCAAAAAUGUCAGUACUGCUGAGAUUGAGAAACCCUGCUCUAGAAGAGAAUAAGGGUUGGUCUACCAAGUUGUUUGGGUUUAGACAAUUAUGAUGGGUGAAGUAAGAGGAACCUGAUGUUUCUGCAACUCUCAUGUCUGGGGUGGGUGGCUUCACGCUCCUCCCUGCUGCUCCCCUGCACCGCCCCCCAGCUUGGUUUUUGCACUUGGAAACUCCAGCACUGGCAGCCCGGAGUCUCUGUCUCAAAGCUACCUGCUGUCCAUCUCCUCAUUUCAGAAGACUCCAGACAUAGAACCACUCAAUGCAACCUAGAAAGUGGAUGCUGCUGGGCUCAUCUUCCACUGACCUUGUCCUCUCUCAUGCUCUGCUCUCUUCUACCAGAAGUCCUCAACAUUCCAUUUGGGAAGAAGACUAAAAAUGCCUACUAGAUUGUUGAGCAGCAGUUCGCAGGGACUACCAAGACCCACUGCUGAUCCAGACAAUGAAGUUUCAGGAGGCUCUGGGCCAAUCUUUAGAAUCAUAGAAUAACCACAAUAGAAAAGGGCCAUUGAGAUCAGCAAGCUCAAGCCCCACAUUUUGUAGACAAGAAAAUCAAGGUUUAGAAGAAUCCAGUCGAUAACCCUCAUCAGACAGAGUGGCUGAUGGAUCCUGAUCUGACUUUAAGUUCCUAAGAGACUAACUUCCAUAAUAAAUGAACAUGAGAAGUCAGGCUAAUCUUGGCCUUCCUCUAAAUUCUUGCAAGACCCAAACCACUUAACCGCAUUUCUUCAGUUUUGCUAUUUGUCUAACAGUUCCUACUUGCAUAAGUGUCCUUCUAACUCCUCAGAUUACAUUGAUAAAUCUUGCAAGCUUGCAAAAUUUUGAAGAUAAAAACACCACCUGCAAAGCUAAAGUUAGACACAUCUUGGUAAAUGUUUUUUCCUAUGAGUAAUUAUAUCUCUGGACCAAUAAGCAGCAUCAUGAUAAACGGAGAAAAGGUUGAGGUUGUCAAGGGUUUCAUUUUAUGGAUCCACAGUCAACACCUAUGGAAGCAGCAAUCAAGAAAUCAAAAGAGGCAUUGCAUUGAGCAAAUCUGCUGCAAAAGACCUCUUUAAAGUGUUAAAAAACAAAGAUGUCACGUUGAAGGCUAAGGUGGGCCUGACCCAAGCCAUGGUGUUUUUGAUUGCCUCACAUGCAUGUGGAAGCUGAACGAUGAAUAAGGAAGAUCAAAGAAGAGUUGAUGCCUCUGAAUUGUGGCGUUGGCUAAGAAUAUUGAAUAUACCAUGUACUGCCAGAAGAACGAACAAAUCUGUCUUGGAAGAAGUACAACCAGAAUGCUCCUUAGAAGCAAGGAUGUUGAGAUUACUCUCACAUACUUUAGACAUGUUAUCAGGAGGGAUCAGUCCCUGGAGAAGGACAUCAUGCUUAGUAAAGUAGAGGGUCAGCAAAAAAGAGGAAGACCCUCAACGAGGUGGAUUGACACAGUGGCUGCAACAAUGAGCUCAAGCAGAGCAGCAAUUGUGAGGAUGGUGCAGGACCCAGCUGUGUUUCUUUCUGUUGUACACAGGGUUGCUAUGAGUCGGAAUCACCUCAAUGGUACCUAACGACAACAACAAUCAUAUCUCUACAUAUCUCUAUCAUAUCUCUGGUGGGACUCUAAUAUGGAUCUAAAAUCAUGAAAAAUCAGUUCUGAAUAUGGGCUUGAGUUCUGCCAUAAAAAUAAUUCACCCAAGUAGAUACAUACGUGUCUUAGCCUUCUAGGGCUGCUAUAACAAAAUACCAUAAGGCGGGUGGCUUUAAAGAACAGGAAUGUAUUUUCUCACAGUUCUAGAGGUUAGAAGGACAAAUGAUGGUCUCGUCCAUGUCGAUUCCUUCUGGGGCACUGAGAGAGAAACUGUUCAUGUCUCUUUCCUGAUUCUGGUGGCUGCUGGCAAUAUUUGGCAUUCCUUUGCUUGCAGAUGUAUCUUCACAUGGUGCCUUCUCCUGUGUGUGACUCUGUUUCCACUCAAAAGGGAUUAGGACUAGGACCCAGCCUACUCCAAUAUGACUUAACUGAUAGCAUCUUAAAAGGAAGACCCCCUUUCCCCAAACAAGGUCACAUUCACAGGCACAGAAAUUAGAAUUUCAACAUUUUUUUGAGGGACAGAAUUCAAUCCCCACCAAUACGUUUUGACUUUGGAGAGUUUUUUAUUAAAGCUUAGGUUUGAAGGGCAGGCAGGCAUCAGUACCUUCAGGCCUGACUUUUGCCCUGUCCCGCCACCUCUUAUUUUUCUGCCCUGGAUUUUCCUGACAGCAGAGAGUUUUGUGCUCAGGAGCUAUACAGGCUCUGGACAAUGCAGAAGCAGGAAUGGUGUUUGACUUAUCAUCAUUCCCCUACCUUGUCUAGCACAAUGCCUUGCACAGGCUACAUUCCCAAUGGUGUUUGUUGAGAGAAUACAUAAGUAUGUAAGUAUUAUGAAAGGAAACCUUAGUAUGCCUUUCAAUUUAUAAAUUCAUAAAAUAUCUUCAUGUAUGAUUGCUGGGGAGUCCCUGGGUGGUACAAAUGGUUAAUGUGCUUGGUUGCUACCUGAAAGGCUGGAGGUUCAAGUCCGCCCACAGGCACCUCAGAAGAAAGGCCUGGCAAUCUACUUCCAAAAAAUCAGCCAUUAAAAAUCCUGUGGAGCACAGUUGUACCCUGACACACAUAGAGUUGCCAUGAGACAGAGUCGACUCGAUGGCAACUGUUUUUUUGUUUGUUUGUUUUGUUUUUAUCAUUGCUGAACAUUAAAUGCAAUUCAUAAGAAAUAUAUCAUCCAAAAAGUCUCAUUCUCUCUUUUUUCAUUCUAACUGGUCCCGUUUUAAACAUAAAUAUACCUUUUUUUAAUUCUUGGAAAUUUUUCUUAUGAAAACAAACAACCCGCCCCCACAAAAAUGUAAGAAGCACAACAUAGAGAAAUUAGAAUGUCAAGAAUCAUUUAACUGAAAAGGAAACUAACCAAGAUGCAAAAACCCAAACCCGUUGCUGUCAAGCCAAUUCCAAUUCAUAGAGACCUAUAAGACAGAGUAAAACUGCCCCAUAGGAUUUCCAAGGCUAUAAUCUUUCUGCCUUGGAGUGGCUAGUGGAUUUGAACCACUGACCUUCUGGUUAGCAGCCAAGCGCUUAACUACUGUGUCACUAGGGCUCCCUAACCAAGAUGGCAGACACAUGUUACACCAAGUGCGUUUACUGUAACUAUAUGAGGCGAUUUGAAUAUGAUGGGUUGAAAUUGGGUUUGAAUCUUUGAAAUUGCCUCUCUGAGCUCUGCUCCCUCCCCAGUAAAUGGGAAUACUUACAUGACCUUUCAAGUUCAUUGAGAGUGUUUGGUGAUGGGAUAUAAACACUGUGACUACAUUAAAAAAUUAGCACCUGGCAUUUAUAAGCAGGUAAUAAAAGACGGCUGUUAUAAAGAAACAAAACCACAAAUGAUUGUCUGAUGACUCUUCAAUGUAAAGGCUACAUUUUCCGUUUUAAAAAAAAAAGGGGUGAUUUGCCGUGAAAAUAGAAACACCUGUGCAUACAUGAGCAACCGUUCCCAUUUUUACCGUAAUUAGCUCCCUAAUUGAGCAUUGAAAUUCACCCAGAGUAUUUGCGUGUGUAACUGGCUGUCAUUCAUUACCAAAGGCGGGCCUGUGCUAUGCUAUUCUACAAGUCAAAUGACUGAAAGAUGCGUGUCUUUUGGAAAUCUUUGCGAAACAAUGGAGUUCCUGGGUGGUGUAAACAGUUACCACACUACGGACCAAAAGGUUGGAGGCCCCAGUUCACCCAGAGCCUUCUUGGAAGAAAAAUCAGCCAUUGAAAACCCUAUGGAGUACAACUCUACUCUGCAACACAUGGGAUCGCCACAAGUUAAAAUUGAAAUGGUUAAGCGGGGUGCCCAAACAAACAAAAAACCAAAAUAACGUGGGUUAUUUGUAUCGAAUGAACAACUAGACCUGGCUCCAUGAGGACCUCUUAAGUUUUAAAAUAAUGAUAAUUGAAGCUAAGGUAGAUCCCAAAGGUUUGGAAGUAGAAAUUUCCACAAUUAAGGAAAUUUCCCUUGGAAUAAAGGAAUAUUUCACAUUAAAAAAAGAAAGAAAAAACCUUCUCAAUAAUAUCUUUUAACUUUGGGAGCUUCCAAGGCACUGUUUCUCUUUAAGCAACAAAUUUAGGAAGUCUUGUUCAUCGAGUCACAUUUUUUCUUUUUUUCCACCUCACCUGCUUGAGAAUCAGAGCCAAACUUUCUCAUUGCAGUUAUCUUCCUUUUAGCAUGGAUUCUAGAAUGCGAACUUGCUGGUAUCUCCGAUACCAGGGCAGCAGGUUUGCAGAGCCAAGAGCUGCCUGCCUCAGGGCUCUUUGGUACACGGCAUUACAAAGGCCAGUGCGGUUUCGACUCAGCUACUGAGCAUAGCACAGGGAUCGCCCCAUCCUGGCUGAGACUCUUCCCAGGAAAGGCAAAUGAACUCUGUGCUGUCACUGGGAUUUCAGGUUCAAGGAGACAGAGCUUCUGAGGAAAGGGAUUAUAUACGAGUCCCUAGACAGCUCUCCCUGGAGAAGGACAUCAUGCUUGGUAGAGUAGAGGAAGACCCUCAGUGAGAUGGACUGACACACAGUGGCUGCAACAAUGGGCUCAAGCAUAACAAAGAUUGUGAGGAUGACGCAGGAUUGGCAGUGUUUCAUUCUGUUGUACAUAGGGUGGCUAUGAGUCAGAACCAACUCUACAACACCUAACAACAACAACAACAAAGCAGCUCUAUCCCUCCUCUUUCCUCUGCCACCAUCUCCUUUUCAUCUGUGGCACUUUCCCACCUUCGAUCCUUCCUUUAGGCGCCCUAAGCCCUCCAGGUCUCUCCUCAUUCCGUUGCCAAAACCCGAUCUUUGGGAAAACUCUACUAAUUGUGAUAGUUUAAUGUGUGUCUUCCAGGGGAUUUUAAGAAAGGCCAAAGCCUUGAUUUAUUCAGCAAACAUUUCUCUUGCGCUCCCUAUGUGGCAGGCACCAUAAUGAUAGGGUACAUGUAAAGACAAAGAAGGUUCUGAAAGUGUUUACCAGCUAGAGGAAAAGAUGGGUGAGUCGACACCAAGACUUGCUGAGAGACAGUAUAGCAGAGUGGCUGUGAAUGCCAGCUCUAUCCCACUUGCCUGGGUCCCAAUGCUGGCUCUUGCCUUGGACAAGUUAUUUAUUUUAUUGUGUUCUAGCUGAAAGUUUACAGCUCAAGUUAAUUUCUCAUACAAAAAUUUGUACACAUAUUGUUAUAUGACACUAGUUGCAAUCCCUAUAAUGUGACAGCACAUUCCCCCUUUCCACCCCGGGUUUCCCGUAUCCAUCCCACCAGCUCUUGUCCCUUCCAGACUUCUUAUCCUGCCUCUGGACAGGAGCCACCCAUUUGGUCUUGUGUAUCUGCUUGAACUAAGAACCGCACUCUUCACAAGUAUUAUUUUAUGUUUUGUAGUUCAGUCUAAUCUUUGUCUGAAGAGUUGGGUUCAGGGAUGGUUUCAGUUCUGGACUAACGGAGCAUCUGGGGGCAAUAGUUCCAGGGGUUCCUCUGGUCUCAGACCAUUAAGUCUGGUCUUUUUAUGUGAAUGUGAGUUCUGCUCCACACUUUUUUCCUGCUCCGUCAGGGACUCUCUGCUGUGUUUCCUGUCAGGGCAGUCAUUGGUGGUAGCCAGGUACCAUCUAGUUCUUCUGGUCUCAGGCUGAUGGAGUCUCUGGGUUAUGUGCCCCUUUUGUCUCUUGGGAAACCCUGGUGGCGUAGUGGUUAAGUGCUACAGCUGCUAACCAAAAGGUCAGCAGUUCAAAUCCACCAGCCUCUCCUUGGAAACUCUAUGCGGCAGUUCUGCUCUGUCCUGUAGGGUCUCUAUGAGCCGGAAUCAACUCAACGGCAACAGGUACGGGUUUGUCUCUUGGCCUAAUAUUUUCCUUGUGUCUUUGGUGUUCUUCAUCCUCCUUUACUCCAAGUGGGUUGGGACCAAUUGAUGCAUUUAGAUGGUCGCUCGCAAGCUUUUAAGACCCUAGACGAGACUCACCAAAGUGGGACGCAGAACAUUUUCUUAAUAAAUUUCGUUAUGCCAAUUGACCUAGAUGUCCCCCGAAACCAUGGUCCCCAGAACCCGGCCCCAGCUACUCUGUCCUUCAAAGUGUUUGGUUGUGUUCAGGAAACUUCUUAGCUUUUGCUUUAGUCCAGUUGUGCUGACUUCUGUACUGUGUGUUGCCCUUCCCUCCACCUAAGAUGAUUCUUGCCAACUAUCUAGUUAGUGAAUUCACCUCUCCCUCCCUCUCCACACUUGUAACCAUCAAAGAAUGUUUUCUUCUGUGUUUAAACCUUUUCUUGAAUUUUUAUAAUAGUGGUCUCAUACAAUAUUUGUCCUUUUGCAACUAAUUUCACUCAGCAUAAUGCCCUCCAGGUUCAUCCAUGUUGUGAGAUGUUUCGUGGAUUCGUCAUUGUUCUUUAUCAUUGCAUAGUAUUCCAUUGUGUGUAUGUACCAUAAUUUGUUUAUCUAUUCGUCUGUUGAUGGACACCUAGGUUAUUUCCAUCUUUUUGCUAUUGUGAACAGCACUGCCAUGAAAAUGGGUGUGCAUAAAUCGAUUCGUGUGAGGCCCCUUAUUUCUCUAGGAUAUAUUCCAAGGAGUGGGAUUGCUGGAUCGUAUGGAACUUCUAUAUUUAGCUUUUUAAAAAAAGUGCCAAAUCGAUUUCCAAAGUGGUUGUACCAUUUUACAUUCCCACCAACAGUGCGUAAGUAUUCAGUCUCUCCACAACCUCCCCAACAUUUAUUAUUUUGUGUUUUGGGGAUUAGUGCCAACCUUGUUGAGGUGAGAUGGUAUCUCAUUGUAGUUUUGAUUUGCAUUUCUGUAAUGGCUAACGAUCAUGAGCAUUUCCUCAUGUAUCUGUAAGCCGCCUAACUGUCUUCUUUGGUGAAGUAUCUGUUCAUAUCCUUUGCCCAUUUUUUUCUUUUUUUUUAUUGUGCUUUAAGUGAAAGUUUACAAUUCAAGUCAGUUUCUCAUACAAAAACAUACACAUUGUUAUGUGACCCUAGCUGCUCUCCCUACAAUGUGACAGCACACUCCUUUUCUCCACCCUGUAUUUCCCGUGUCCAUUCAACCAGCUCCUGUCCCCCUCUGCCUUCUCAUCUCACCUCCAGGCAGGAGCUGCCCACAUAGUCUUGUGUGUUCACUUGAGCUAAGAAGCACACUCAUUUGCCCAUUUUUUAAAUUGAGUUAGUUGUCUUUUUUGUUGUUGAGGUAUUGUAGUAUCUUGUAGAUUUUAGAGAUUAGAUCCUUAUUGGAUAUGUCAUAGCCAAAAUCUUUUUUCCCAGUCUGUAGGUUGUCUUUUUACUCUUUCGGUGAAGUCUUUUGAUGAACAUAAGUGGGUGAUUUUUAGGAGCUCCCAGUUAUCUAGUUUCUCUUCUGGUGUUUGUACAUUGUUAGUUAUGGUUUGUACUCUGUUUAUGCCAUGUAUUAGGGCUCCUAGCAUUGUCCCUAUUUUUUCUUCCAUGAUCUUUAUUGUUUUAGAUUUUAUAUUUAGGUCUUUGAUCCAUUUUGAGUUAGUUUUUGUACAUGGUGUGAGGUAUGGGUUUUAUUUUUGUUUUUUUGCAGCUGGAUAUCCAGUUAUGCCAGCAUCAUUUGUUAAAGAGGCUGUCUUCCCCCCAUUUAAUGAACUUUGGGCCUUUGUCAAAUAUCAGCUGCUGAUAGGUGGGUGGACAAGUUAUUUAACUUCUGCACUUCACUUUCUUCAUUAUAAAUGGAACUUUUUCUUAGAAUUGAGAUGUUGUUGUUAGGUGCCGAUGAAUCAGUUUCGACUCAUUGCGACACCAUGUACAACAGAACAAGCCACUGCCCAGUCCUGCACCAUCCUCACAAUUGUUGCUGUUCUUGAGCCCAUUGUUGCAGCCACUGUGUCAAUCCAUCUCAUUGAGGGUCUUCCUCUUUUUCGCUGAUCCUCUACUUUGCCAGGCAUGAUGUCUGUCUCCAGGGGCUGGUCCUUCCUGAUAAUAUGUCCAAAGUACGUGAGAUGAAAUCUUGCCAUCUUAACUUCUAAGGAGCAUUCUGGCUGUACUUCUAAGACAGAUUUGUUUCUUCUUCUGGCAGUCCACGUUAUAUUCAAUAUUCUUUAACAACAACAUAAUUCAAAUGUAUCAAUUCUUCUUCAGUCUUCCUUAUUCAUUUUCCAGCUUUCUCCUGCAUAUGAGGCGAUUGAAAAUACUGUGGCUUGGGUCAGGCGCACCUUAAUCCUCAAAGUAAUAUUUUUGCUUUUUAACACUUUAAAGAAGUCUUUUGGAGCAGAUUUGCCCAAAGUAAUGUGUCAUUUGACUUAUUGACUGCUGCUUCCAUGGGCGUUGAUUGUGGAAGAAUUGAGAUACAGAUUAAAUAAUUUAAUAGGUAUGAUUGAUUGAAAAUAGUGACAUAUGAACGGACUUACAGGUUUUGCAGGUAAUACAACUCCUAAUGCUUAGUAGUCUUGGAGUGUGUUUAGAGUUAAUUUCAUGCAGAAGUAUAACACAGUCUUCUGUUUUUAGACCAGGAGUUGGCAAACUACCGCCUGUGGGCUAAAACUCUCCCACUACCUCUUUUUGUAAGGCCUGUGAACUAAGAAUGAUUUUUAAAUUUUUAACUAGCUACAUUUUAAAUCGGGGCUGAUCAAAGAAAAAGAUAUGACCAUGAGGUAGCAGCAUUGCUCAACAAGCUAUUUACUGGGGCCAACGGACAGACAGUGGCAUGCAGGCGGUGGUCUCCCGCAACAGAAAGUCUGCCAGAGGAAAGUGAGCAAGGUGGGGAGUCUCUGGGUCAGAGAGCUCUGGAGGACCAGCAAAGCUGGAGGUCCUUAUAGCUACAGCGAUUUAUCUUAUCUAGGGCUACCAGAUGUUGGGCACAGUUUUGAGGGGUUUGUAAAGCAGACAAGCUCUAAGUGGCUAAAAAUCUGCUUACUGGAGCUAUUUUUAGAACAAUUUAAAGUGUACAGAUGAGUUUGGCGCUGAUUUUUUUUUUUUUUGGGUGGGGAGGCUAACGGGCUUCAGCUUGUUACGAAGAAGUAAACAACUUGUGGGCAAUACACAGAGGCCAUCUUUGGCUCAUUUAUGUAACAAAUGGUUAUAUACCAAGCCCAAACCCAUCGCCGUCCAGUCAAUUCCGACUCAUAGCGACCCUAUAGGACAGAGGAGAACUGCUCCAUAGAGUUUCCAAGGUGCAGCGGGUAGAUUUGAACUGCCAACCUUUUGGUUAGCAGCUGAAUGCUUAACCACUGCACCACCAGGGCUCUACAAUGGUUAUACAAGUACCUACAUAAUAUCCUCGAAUUUGCCUAAAAUAUUUACUAUCGGGUCCUUUAGAGAAAAGCUUGCCGACGCCUGGUCUAGACGAACACUGGCUAAUAGAACUUUCUGGGAUGACGCAAAUGUUCUGUGUCUGCACUGUUAAAUGCAGUAAACACUAGACUCGUGGCAUUUGUGCACUUAAAAUGCGGCUGGUAUGACUGAAAAAGUCAAUUUUUUAUUUCAUGGACUUAUAAUUCAUUUUAAUUUAACUAGCCACAUGUGACUAGUGGCAAUCGUAUUAGACGGAGCAGCUCUUGAUAACUUUAAGUCUAAAGAGUUCUGUCAAUGUUGCUCUCUCUCAAUUUAGUACAACAACCCAGAGGCUGUCUGAGUCAAACGGAAGGCCACACUCUUAAUCAGAUUGUUGCCCCAGACUGGCUUUCAUUGUCUGCUAGAAAAUGCCUAAUGGAAAGUGCUUGAAAAAUGCAUGUGGGCACACUCUUAUUUCCACUUUAGGCUGCUACUUUGCCUCUACCCAUUACAUCUGCUUUCGACUAGAGUAAAGCGGUUGGCCUUUUCAACCCGGCGAGGCCCCAAAUUAAGGAACUCUUAAUUAACAGGGUUCAGGGCAGCAGACAGGGAAAAUCUCUUAGCAAAGCUGUAUUUCCUUCCAUCCCUGUUUACAGACUGGCUCAUUUCAGCUCUAGUUCAUUUCUUUUAUAAGCCUUUGUUGAAAACAGUAAGAAGGCGCAAACAUACAUCAUCAUUAUGGAUACUGCCAACCAUGUCCCCCUAAGAGUAAAGUCACAUUUGCCACAUAUUCUGGCCUCCAAAGUAGCACAGGUGAUAAUUUUAUCAACUGUCUUGCAAUGGUAUAACACGGGUAACCAGCUUUCCAGCCUCCAAUAUUUGAGUCUUUGUUGCCCACAGCCUAAGUACAUCAAUGUUACAUACUUUAGGUUCUCUCACGGGCAGUGCCUUAGUUAUCUAGUGCUGCUUUAACAGAAAUACUGCAAGUGGGUGGCUUUAAGAAUCAGAAAUUUAUUUUCUCACUGUUUAGGAAGCUAGAAGUCUAAAAUCAAGGUGCCAGCUCUAGGGGAAGGUUUUUUUUUCUCUGUUGGUUCUAGGGGAAAGUCCUUGCCUCUUCAACUUCUAUUCCUUUGGCUCCUCGGUGAUCUUCAUGUGGCAUGGCAUCUAUCAUCCCCCACCUCUGCUUGCUCACUUGCUUGUUUAAUCAUUUUAUAUCUCAAAAGAGAUUGACUUAAGACGCACUAUACACUAACACUGUCUCAUUAACAUAACAAAGACAACUCAUUCCCAAAAGGGAUUAUAACCACAGGUAUGUUUGUUGCUGUUUGGUGCUGUCCAGUCAAUUCCAACCCAUAGCGACCCUAUGUACAACAGAAUGAAACACUGCCAGGUCCUGUGCCAUGUUCACAAUUGUUGCUAUGCUUGAGCCCAUUGUUGCAGCCACUGUGUCAAUCUGUCUUUUUCACUGACCCUCUGCUUUACCAAGCAUGAUGCCCUUCUCUAGGGACUGAUCCCUCCUGAAAACAUGUCCAAAGUACAUGAGACAAAGUCUAGCCACCCUCCCUUCUAAGGAGCAUUCUGGUUGUACUUCUUCCAAGACAGAUUUGUCCGUUCUUUUGGCAGUUCACGGUAUAUUCAAUACUCUUCACCAGCACCAUAAUUCAAAGACAUCAAUUCUUCCUUGGUCUUCCUUAUUCAUUUCCAGCUUUCACAUGCAUAUGAAGUGAUUGAAAACACCAUGCUUGGGUCAGGCCCACCUUAGUCCUUAAAGUGACAUCUUUGCUUUUUAACACUUUAAAGAGAUCUUUUGCAGCAGAUUUGCCUAAUACAAUAUAACCUUUGAUUUCUUUUUUUUUUAUUGUGCUUUAAGUGAAAGUUUACAAAUCAAGUCAGUCUCUCACACAAAAACUUAUAUACACCUUGCUACAUACUCCCAAUUCCUCUCCCCCUAAUGAGACAGCCUGCUCCCUCCCUCCACUCUCUCUUUUCAUGUCCAUUUCACCAGCUUCUAACCCCCUCCACCCUCUCAUCUCCCCUCCAGGCAGGAGAUGCCAACAUAGUCUCAAGUGUCCACCUGAUCCAAGAAGCUCACUCCUCACCAGCAUCCCUCUCCAACCCAUUGUCCAGUCCAAUCCAUGUCUGAAGAGUUGGCUUUGGGAAUGGUUUCUGUCCUGGGCCAACAGAAGGUCUGGGGGCCAUGACCACCAGGGUCCUUCUAUUCUCAGUCAGACCAUUAAGUCUGGCCUUUUUAUGAGAAUUUGGGGUCUGCAUCCCACUGCUCUCCUGCUCCCUCAGGGGUUCUCUGUUGUGUUCCCUGUCAGGGCAGUCAUUGGUUGUAGCCGAGCACCAUCUAGUUCUUCUGGUCUCAGGCUAAUGUAGUCUCUGGUUUACGUGGCCCUUUCUGUCUCUUAGGCUUGUAAUUACCUUGUGUCCUUGGUGUUCUUCAUUCUUCCUUGAUCCAGGUGGGUUGAGACCAAUCGAUGCAUCUUAGAUGGCCGCUGGCUGGCGUUUUUAAGACCCCAGACGCCACUCUCCAAAGUGGGAUGCAAAAAUGUUUUCUUAAUAGAUUUUAUUAUACCAAUUGACUAGAUGUCCCCUGAAACCAUGGUCCUCAAACCCCCGCCUCUGCUACACUGGCCUUCGAAGAAUUCAGUUUAUUUUAUUCAAGAAACUUCUUUGCUUUUGGUUUAGUCCAGUUGUGCUGACCUCUCCUGUGCUGUGUGUUGUCUUUCCUGUCACCUAAAGUAGUUCUUAUCUACUAUCUAAUCAGUGAAUACUCCUCUCUCACCCACUCUCCCUCCCCCCUCUCAUAACCAUCAAAGAAUAUUUUCUUCUCUGUUUAAACUAUUUCUCGAGUUCUUAUAAUAGUGGUCUUAUACAAUAUUUGUCCUUUUGCAACUGGCUGAUUUCACUCGUUUUUUAAAUACCUUUCAGAUUCCUCCAUGUUAUGAAAUGUUUCACAGAUUCAUCACUGUUCUUUAUCGAUGCAUAGUAUUCCAUCCUGUGAAUAUACCAUAAUUUAUUUACCCAUUCAUCCAUCGAUGGGCACCUUGGUUGCUUCCAUUUUUUGCUAUGGUAAACAGUGCUGCAAUGAACAUAGGUGUGCAUAUAUCUGUUUGUGUAAAGGCUCUUACCUCUCUAGGAUAUAUUCCAAGGAGUGGGAUUGCUGGAUCGCACGGUAAUUCUAUUUCUAGCUUUUUAAGGAAGCGCCAAAUCGAUUUCCAAAGUGGUUGUACCUUUUUAAAUUCCAAUCUCUCCACAACCUCUCCAACAUUUAUUACCUUCUGUUUUUUGGAUUAAUGCCAGCCUUGUUGGAGUGAGAUGGAAUCUCAUUGUAGUUUUGAUCUGCAUUUCUCUAAUGGGUAAUGAUCGUGAGCAUUUCCUCAUGUAUCUGUUAGCUACCUGAAUGUCUUCUUUAGUGAAGUGUCUGUUCAUUUCUUUUGCUCGUUUUUUAAAUGGGUUAUUUGUCUUUUUACAGUUGAGUUUUUGCAGUAUCAUGUAGAUUUUAGAGAUCAGGCACUGAUCGGAAAUGUCAUAGCUAAAAACUUUUUCCCAGUCUGUAGGUAAUCUUUUUACUCUUUUGGUGAAGUCUUUGGAUGAGCAUAGGUGUUUGAUUUUUAGGAGCUCCCAGUUAUCUAGUUUUUCUUCUGCAUUUUUAGUAAUGUUUUGUAUACUUUUCAUGCCAUGUAUUAGGGCUCCUAGUGUUGUCCCUAUUUUUUCUUCCAUGAUUUUUAUCGUUUUAGAUUUUAUAUUUAGGUCUGAUCCAUUUUGAGCUCGUUUUUGCAUAUGGACUGAGGUGUGGGUCUUAUUUCAUUUUUUUUUUGCAGAUGGAUAUCCAGUUAUGCCAGCACCAUGUUACAAAGACUGUCUUUUCUCCAUUUAAUUGUUUUGGGGCCUUUGUCAAAUAUCAGCUGCUCAUAUGUGGAUGGAUUUAUGUCUGGAUUCUCAAUUCUGUUCCAUUGGACUAUGUAUCUGUUGUCGUACCGGUAGCAGGCUGUUUUGACUACUGUGGCGGUAUAAUAGGUUCUAAAAUCAGGUAGAGUAAGGCCUCCCACUUUGCUCUUCUUUUUCAGUAAUGCCUUAUUUAUCCGGGGCCUCUUUCCCUUCCAUAUGAAGUUGGUGAUUCGUUUCUCCAUCUCAUUAAAGAAUGCCCUUGGGAUUUUGAUUGGAAUUGCAUUAAAUGUGUAGAUUGCUUUUAGUAGAAUAGAUAUUUUUAUAACGUUAAGUCUUCCUAUCCAUGAGCAAGGUAUGUUUUUCCACUUAGGUAGGUCUCUUUUGGUUUCUUGCAGAAGUGUUUUGUAGUUUUCUUUGUAUAAGUCUUUUACAUCUCUGGUAGGAUUUAUUCCUAAGUAUUUUAUCUUCUUGGGAGCUACUGUAAAUGGUAUUGAUUUGGUGAUUUCCUCUUCAAUGUUCUUUUUGUUAGUGUAGAGGAAUCCAACUGAUUUUUGUAUGUUUAUCUUCUAUCCCGAUCCUCUGCUGAACUCUUCUAUUAGUUUCAGUAGUUUUCUUUAGGGUUUUCUGUGUAUAAGAUCAUGUCAUCUGCAAAUAGAGAUACUUUUACUUCUUCCUUGCCCAUCUGGAUGCCCUUUAUUUCUUUAUCUAGCCUAAUUGCUCUGGCUAGGACCUCCAGCACAAUGUUGAAUAAGAACAGUGAUAAAGGGCGUCUUUGUCUGGUUCCUGAUCUCAAGGGGAAUGCUUUCAGGCUCUCUCCAUUUAGGAUGCUGUUGGCUGUUGGCUUUGUAUAAAUGCCCUUAAUUAUGUUGAGGAAUUUUCCUUCUAUUCCUAUUUUGCUGAGAGUUUUUAUCAUGGAUGACUGUUGAACUUUGUCAAAUGCCUUUUCUGCAUCAAUUGAUAAAAUCAUGUGAUUCUUGUCUUUUGUUUUAUUUCUAUGAUGGAUUGCAUUAAUUGUUUUUCUAACGUUGAACCAUCCCUGCAUACCUGGUAUGAAUCCCACUUGGUCAUGGUGAAUUAUUUUUUUGAUAUGUUGUUGAAUUCUAUUGGCCAGAGUUUUGCUGAGGAUUUUUGCAUCUAAGUUCAUGAGGGAUAUUGAUCUGUUAUUUUCUUUCUUAGUGUUGUCUUUAUCUGGUUUUGGUAUGAGGGAUAUGGUGGCUUCAUAAAAUGAACUUGGGAGUAUUCCAUCCUUUUCUAUGCUCUGAAAUACCUUUAGUAGUAGUGGUGUUAACUCUUCUCUGAAAGUUUGGUAGAACUCUGCAGUGAAGCUGUCCAGUGAAGCCGUCAGGGCCAGGGCUUUUUUUUUGGGGGGGGGAGUUUUUUGAUUACCUUAUCAAUCUCUUCUUUUGUUAUGGGUCUAUUUAGUUGUUCUACCUCUGUUUGUGUUAGUUUAGGUAGGCAGUGUGUUUCUAGGAAUUCAUCCAUUUCUUCUAGGUUUUCAAAUUUGUCAGAGUACAAUUUUUCAUAGUAAUUUGAUACAAUUCUUUGAAUUUCAGUUGGGUCUGUUGUAAUAUCACCCAUCUCAUUUCUUAUUUGGGUUAUUUGCUGCCUCUCCUGUUUUUCUUUUGUCAGUUUGGCCAGUGGUUUAUCAAUUUUGUUGAUUUUUUCAAAGAACCAGCUUUUGGUCUUGUUAAUUCUGUCAAUUGUUUUUCUGUUUUCUAUUUCAUUUAGUUCUGCUCUAAUUUUUAUUAUUUGUUUUCUUCUGGUGCCUGAGGGCUUCUUUUGUUGCUUUUUUUCUAUUUGCUCAAGUUGUAUGGAUAAUUCUUUGAUUUUGGCCCUUUCUUCUUUUUGGAUGUGUGCAUUUAUUGACAUAAAUUGACCUCUGAGCACUGCUUUCGCUGUGUCCCAAAGGUUCUGACAGGAAGUGUUUUCAUUCUCAUUGGAUUCUCUGAAUUGCUUUAUUCCAUCCUUAAUGUCUUCUAUAAUCCAGUCUUUUUUGAGCAGGGUAUUGUUCAGUUUUCAAGUGUUUGAUUUCUUUUCCCUGCUUUUCCUGUUAUUGAUUUCCACUUUUAUGGCCUUAUGGUCAGAGAAGAUGCUUUGUAAUAUUUCAGUGUUUUGGAUUCUGCUAAGGCUUGCUUUAUGACCUAAUAUGUGGUCUAUUUUAGAGAAUGUUCCAUGUGCACUAGAAAAGGAAGUCUACCUGGUUGCUGUUGGGUGGAGUGUUCUGUAUAUGUCUACGAGGUCAAGUUGGUUGAUUGUGGCAUUUAGAUCUUCCGUGUCUUUAUUGAGCUUCUUUCUGGAUGUCCUGUCCUCUGAAAGUGGUGUGUUGAAGUCCCCCACUAUCUCACUUUUCAAUGCUGAUAGAGUUUGUUUUAUGUAUCUUGCAGCCCUGUCAUUGGGUGCAUAAAUAUUUAAUAUGGUUAUAUCUUCCUGGUAUAUUGUCCCUUUAAUCAUUAUAUAGUGUCCUUCCUUAUCCUUUAUAAUGGAUUUAACUUUAAAGUUCUAUUUUGUCAGAAAUUAAUAUUGCCAGUCCUGCUCUUUUUUGAUUGCUGUUUGCUUGAUAUAUUUUUUCCUUCCUUUGAGUUUUAGUUUGUUUGUGUCUGUAAGUCUAAGGUGUGUCUCUUGUAGGCAGCGUAUAGAUGGAUCUUGUUUUUUAACCCAUUCUGCCACUCUGUGUCUCUGUAUUGGUGCAUUUAGUCCAUUUACAUUCAGGGUAAUUAUGGAUAGGUAUGAAUUUUGUGCUAUCAUUUUGAUGUCUUUUUUCGUGUGUUGUUGACAGUUUCUUUUUCUCACUUAAUUUUAUGUGCUGAGUAGAUUAUCUUUAUAUAUUGUCCUUUCCUCAUAUUCGUUGUUGUUGAUUUUGUUUCUGCUGAGUCUCUAUCUUUUUCUUGUGUUUUAUUUUGAUAUGUAGGAUAGUUUGUCUCCUUUGUGGUUACCUUAUUAUUUACCCCUGUUUUUCUAAAUUUAAACCUAACUUUUAUUUCUUUGUAUCGCCUUAUCUUCUUCUCCAUAUGGAAGAUCUAUGACUACAUUUCUUAGUCCCUUUUUAUUGUUGUCUUCUCUUACAUAAUAACAUCGCUGUUGCCCUGUUUUGAGUGUUUUUUUCAAUCUUGCUUUGUUUUUUUUUUUUUUUAUUUCCCUGUCUGGGUUGACUUCUGAUUGCUCUGCCCAGUGUUCUAAUCUUGGGCUGAUACCUGAUAUUAUUGAUUUUCUAACCAAAGAACUCCCUUUAGUAUUUCUUGUAGUUUUGGUUUGGUUUUUAUGAAUUCCCUAAACUUCUGUUUAUCUGGAAAUGUCCUAAUUUCACCUUCAUAUUUAAGAGACAGGUUUGCUGAUAUAUGAUUCUUGCUGGCAAUUUUUUUCCUUCAAUUUUUUUAAAUAAGUCAUCCCAUUGCCUUCUUGCCUGCAUGGUUUCUGCCAAGUAGUCCAAGUUUAUUCCUAUUGGCUCUCCUUUGUAGGUGACUUUUCAUUUAUCCCUCGCUGCUCUUAAAAUUCUCUCUAUAUCUUUGGUUUUGGCAAGUUCGAUUAUAAUAUGUCUUGGUGACUUUCUUUUAACAUCUACCUUAUGUGGAGUUUGGUCAGCAUCUUGGAUACAUAUCAUCUCAUCUUUCACGAUAGCAGGGAAGUUUUAUGUCAACAAAUCUUCAACAAUUCUCUCUGUAUUUUCUCUUAUCCUUCCCUGUUCUGGUACUCCUAUCACUCGUAGGUUAUUUCUCUUGAUAGAGCCCCACAUGAUUCUUAAUGUUUCUUCAUCUUUUAAAAUUAUUUUAUCUGAUUUUUCUUCAAAUAUAUUAGUGCCAAGUGAUUUAUCUUCAAGUUCAGAAAUUCUGCCUUCCCCUUGCUCAGUUCUGCUCCUCUGACUUUCUACUGAGUUGUAUACGUCUGUAAUUUUAUUGUUAAUCUUCUGAAUUUCUGAUUGCUGUCUGUCUACGGAUUUUUCCAGCUCAUUAAAUUUUUCAUUAUGUUCCUGAAUAAUCUUUUUAAUUUCUUCAAUUGCUUUAUCUGUGUGUUCCUUGGCUUUUUCUGUGUAUUGCUUCAUUUCCUUCCUGAUGUCUUGAAGCGUUCUGCAUAUUAAUCUUUUGUAUUCUGCCUCUGGUAGUUCCAGGAAUGUACGUUCAUCUAGAAGAUCCCUUGAUUCUUUGUUUUGAAAGCUUGUUGAGGCGAUCAUGGUCUGUUUCUUUAUGUGACCAUACUAACUGUUGUCUCCGAGCCAUCUAUAAGUUAUUGCAUUAGUUUAUUUUAUGUCUGCUUACUGUGUCAUAGCUUCUUGCUGUGUUUUGUUUUGAUAUGCCUAAAUGGGUUGCUUGAGUGAGCUAGGUUAUUUUUGCCUUUGGAGCUCUGAUGUCCUGUCCCCAGAUGGCUAGAGCUGUUAUCAGGUAUAUCAGUCUAGAAGUCUAUUCACUUUUCUUGUAUGAAUUCAGCUCAGGUGUCCAGGUAGCUGAUCAUCAAGUGUGUGGUACAGGCUCUGUCCUACAGUCUUAGAGGGGCACGGGUGAUUGGUGUAGAUACCGGUAUCUGGUUGCAGCAGGGGGUUACACUCUGAACAAGAUGGGGGCUGAGAAUCGUCCCCCACGUGUCUCUGAGGAAAGCGUGUCCCUGAUCCUUAGAGCAUACAAGUGGGUGGGUUCUGCAGGCAGACCAUGGGCACCAAAUAUUUUUGGUUGUAAGGACUGGGAGGUACCAGUUACCCUUGAACCCCUGUCACGGGUGGCUGGGUGACCUGAGUGGAGCUACCAGUCCUUAGACCCCUGAUAUGGGUAGGUGAGGACCUGUUUAAUAGGCAAAGCAAUGUCAAACAUCAAACACCCACCUCUCUGCCACACAGCUGAAAUGGUUGGGGUCUGCCAACAAGGGCCUAUUCUCCUGAAAUAGGCCCACACAGGUCCAUGCAGAGGGGAAAGGUACUCAAAGUCCACGGACCAUUUAUGCCUGGACAGGAGCUGCUUCUGUGCUGAGCUCCCCUGGUUAGUGGAGCCGGCAAAUUAUCUUUUUCCCCAAUUGCAAAUUUUUUCCUUUUCCAAGGCCAGGAGGAUGGCUCUAGGUGCUCAACAGGGCCUAUCUCAGGCCCAGAGAAUUUAGCUGCUGAAGCCGGCUUGUGGGGGUGGGUGCACGGUAAAAUAUAUGCAAUUACUUAGCUUUUGCCGAGAGCGCCUUUCUUCUCUGGUUCCAGAGGUGUGAGUAGGCUGUGUGGCUGGCUCCUUCUCCCUGAGGAAAUUGUGGCUGAACGCUAGUACCAGUCUGCCGCAGCCGCCCCUCCGGGAACGGUGCCUGAGGGCUCCCCAUGAUUCAGGUCCGGUAACUCCUCUCCACUUCUGAAUCGUCUCUUCCUCCCCCUGCCCCUCAGUUCAUUUUCUAAGCUUGCCUUUGAUGCUCAGGGCUCCUAGCUUAUCAUAAAUAACACUCGUUUCACUUGCUUUUUCAGGUCUUUGUUGUAAAGAGGGCUCGCAAGAAGCAUCUGUCUAUUCUGGCAUCUUGGCUCCACCUCCCCUUUGAUUUCUUGACUGCUGCUUUCAUGGGCAUUGAUUGUAGAUCCAAGUAAAAUGAAGUCCUUAACAACUUCAAUCUUUUCUCUGCUUAUCACGAUGUUGCUUAUUGAUCCAGUUGUGAGGAUUUUUCUUUUCUUUAUGUCUUCUAUCUUCAUCAAUAAGUGCUUCAAGUCCUCUUCAUUUUCAGCAAGCAAAGUUGUGUCAUCUGCAUAAUGCAGGUUGUUAGUGAGUCUUCCUCCAAUCCUGAUGCCCUGUUCUUCUUCAUAUGGUCCAGUUUCUCAGAUUAUUUGCUUAGCAUACAGAUUGAACAAGUAUGGUGAAAGGAUUCAACCCUGACACACACCUUUCCUGACUUUAAACCACACGGUAUUGCCUUGUUCUGUCCGAACAACUGCCUCUUGAUCUAUGUACAGGUUCCUCAUGAGCACAAUUAAGUGUUCUGGAAUUCCCAUUCUUCACAAUGUUACCCAUAGUUCCUUACGAUUCACACAGUCAAAAACCUUUGCAUAGUCAAUAAAACACAGGUAAACAUCUUUCUGGUAUUCUCUGCUUUCAGCCAAGAUCCAUCUGACAUCAGGAAUGAUAUCCCUUUUUCCAUGUCCUUUUCUGAAUCAGGCUUGAAUUUCUGGCAGUUCCCUGCUGAUGUACUGUUAUAACUGCCUUUGAAUGAUUUUCAGCAAAAUUUUACUUGUGUGUAAUAUUAAUGGGAAACCCUGGUGGUGUAGUGGUUAAGUGCUAUGGCUGCUAACCAAGAGGUCGGCAGUUCGAAACCGCCAGGUGCCCCUUGGAAACUCUAUGGGGAAGUUCUACUCUGUCCUAUAGGGUCGCUAUGAGUCAGAAUCGACUUGACGGCAGCGGGUUUGGUUUUUUUGGUGAUAUUAAUGAUAUUGUUCGAUAAUUUCCAUAUUCUGUUGGAUCACCUUUCUUUGGAAUGGGUACAAAUAUGGAUCUCUUCCAGUCGGUUGGCCAGGUAGUUGACUUCCAAAUUUCUUGGCAUAGAUGAGCAAGUGCUUCCAGCACUGCAUCUGACUGUUGAAACACCUCAAUUGGUAUCCUGUCAAUUCCUGGAGCCUUGACACAGGUUUGGGGGUUAGGACUUACAACACAUUUUGGGAUACACAAUCCCAUCCAUAACAGGCAGCAACUUAUUUUCAAGUUCCACAUUCUACACUGGUUAAAAGUAGGCUUGGUUUCACACCAUAAAAAAAUCCAGUUAAGGAAAGCGGGGCCAAGAUGGCUGACUAGGUAGACGCUACCUCGGAUCCCUCUUGCAGCAAAGACUUGGAAAACCAAGUGAAUCGAUCACAUACAUGACAAUCUAUGAACCCUGAACAACAAACACAGAUUUAAAGAGUUGACCUGAGUGACAGAGAUGGAGAACGAACAACUACGGGGAAGCAGCGACUGUUUUCGGAGCCUGGAGCCAGUGUCCCAGUCAGGUAACCUUGGCACCAGGCUUAGGACUGGGUGCAGGGGAGCUGACUACAACAUCUUGUGACCGGGCAAACACGGGGCGCAGCCCUACCCCCCUGAACUGACCCCGGGAAGGGGCCCAGCCAGUCCACGCGGGUGGCGUGGCAACGCGGCUGGUGGGAGGAGAAGUCCCGGGAGGCAGUGACUGGUUUUGGAGCCGGGAGUGCAGCGUCCCAGCCGGGGAACCUUGGCGCCGGGUUUGGACUGGGCCCAGGGGAGCUGAACACAACAUCUUGUGACGGCGCAAACACAGGGCGCAGCCCUACUCCCCUGAACUAACCCUGGGAGGGGGCCCAUCCAGUCCGCCGGGCGGUGCGGAGACGCGGCUGGCGGGACGAGAAGUCCCCGGGAGGCAGCGACUGAUUUUGGAGCCGGGAGUGCAGCGUCCCAGCAGGGGAACCUUGACGCUAGGCUUUGGAUUGGCAGCAGAGGAUCUGACCGCAGCUUCAACGGGCCAGACCCUCGGGGACAAUCUCCACACAGCCAGCACACAUAGGCAACAUGCCCCUCGGGAAUCUCAGAUAAAAUAGUCAUCCCAAGCAAGAUAAGCAACUUUGGCUUUAUUCCAGGGUGUACUCUCUCCUGUUUUUCUGAACCCUCCCCUUCCCUUCCUGGCGGCUUCAUUAACAUUGGAAUUUCCUGAGCCAGAGGGAGAACGGCUUCGGCUCUGCAGCUUUGCUUUUCCCUUUUUUUUUUUUUUUGGUCUUUUCCUAACCCAUUCUUCCGGCCUGAGAGAAGGAACCACAAAAAACCCAGGGACCAAAAAUACUUCCCUAAUUGGACUAAAAACACAGAACCAGCUGCAGCCAAGCAUAUAUGAUCCAAAUCUCGGGCUUUCAUCCUUACAGGGAACAAGGUGGCUGUAAUAAUGCAAAGGCAGUUCUGAUAGGGAUCUGACUGCAUUUUUUUUUAGCGGAUUUACUGGAAAAACAAGUUUCCCAGGUCUGAUAUCUCUGCUUAUUCAACAGAGCCCUAACUGACCCACAACAGGGAACUGAGGGCUGAAGCUUCCCCCAGACCACCUAGCCUCUUGCCUUAGGGGUCUAAAGAGGGUGACACCUACCAAUCAGUAGAGGUACUUGCAUUGGGGGCCUAAGGUACAGCUGCAGAGCCCUCCCACCAAGGUGCUAUAGGAAUAGAGACACACCUACCUCACUGACACUUGCGGGAAGCCUGUCAGCAUCCUGCCUCCCCUGGAGUGUGAACCCCAGCUGCUAAUAGAAUCUGGUGCACACAACUAUCACCACUACUUCUCGAGGUGGAUAGGUAUUAGGGUGCAGCACACACUUGAUGACCCAAAAUCAGAUUCUACUCAAGAAGAGUGAAUAGACUCAGGCAUAUAUAUCUGGCAACAGCCCAAACCAGCUGGUAAUAGGUCAUAAGUAAGUCAAGGGCUACAACAAACAAGACAGCACAAUCUAGUAGCCCAUCCACAUAUAUUGAAAGAAAACAAAACAAGAUAAGACUCAGUGAGCAAAUAUAGAAUAAAUCACUACUAUAUCAUGGCUCAGAGACAGAGUCGAUAUCAAACCACAUAAAGAAGCAGACCAUGACAGCUUCUACAACCCCCCAAACAAAAGAAUCAAAAUCUUUCCCAAAUGAAGAUACAAUCCUGGAAUUAUCAGAUACAGAAUAUAAAAAACUAAUUUACAAAAUGCUUCAAGACAUCAGGGAUGACAUCAGAAAUGAAAUAAGGCAAACUGCAGAAAAAGCCAAGGAACACACUGAUAAAACAAUUGAAGAACUCAAAAAGAUUAUUCAAGAACAUAGUGGAAAAAUUAACGAGUUGCAAGAAUCCAUAGAGAGAGCAUGCAGAAAUCCAAAAGAUUAACAAUAAAAUUACAGAAUUAGACAACACAAUAGGACGUCAGAGGAGCAGACUCGAGCAAUUAGAAUGCAGAGUGGGACAUCUGGAGGACCAGGGAAUUAACACCAACAUAGCUGAAAAAAAAUCAGAUAAAAGAAUUUAAAAAAAAAUGAAGAAACCCUAAGAAUCAUGUGGGACUCUAUCAAGAAGGAUAACUUGCGAGUGAUUGGAGUUCCAGAACAGGGAGGGAGGACAUAAAACACAGAGAAAAUAGUUGAAGAUCUGCUGACAGAAAACUUCCCUGACAUCAUGAAAGAUGAAAGGAUAUCCAUCCAAGAUGUUCAUCGAACCCCAGUUAAGAUUGAUCCAAAAAGAAAAACACCAAGACAUAUUAUCAUCAAACUCGCCAAAACCAAAGAUAAACAGAAAAUUUUAAAAGCAGCCGGGGAGAAAAGAAAGGUCUCCUUCAAGGGAGAAUCAAUAAGAAUAAGUUCAGACUACUCAGCAGAAACCAUGCAGGCAAGAAGGCAAUGGGAUGACAUAUACAGAGCACUGAAGGAGAAAAACUGCCAGCCAAGGAUCAUAUAUCCAGCAAAACUCUCUCUGAAAUAUGAAGGCGAAAUUAGGAUAUUUACAGAUAAACACAAGCUUAGAGAAUUUGCAAAAACCAAACCAAAGCUACAAGAAAUACUAAAGGAAAUUGUUUGGUCAGAAAACCAAUAAUAUCAGAUACCAGCACAACACAAGGUCACAGAACAGAACAUCCUGAUAUCAACUCAAAUAGGGAAAUCACAAAAACAAAUUAAGAUUAAUUAAAAACAAAAUGCUGAAAACAGGGAAUCAUUGAAGUCAAUAUGUAAAAGAUCACAAUAAUCAAAAAGAGGGACUAAAUACAGGCGGCAUAGAACUGCCAUAUGGAGAGGGAUACAAGGCGAUAUAGGACAAUACAAGUUAGGUUUUUACUUCGAAAAAUAGGGGUAAAUAUUAAGGUAAACACAAAGAGGUAUAACAACCCCAUAACUCAAAAUAAAAGCCAAGAAAAACGUAACGACUCAACAAACAUAAAGUCAAAUACUACGAAAAUAAGAAUCUCACAAUUUACAAAGAAAAACGUCUCAGCACAAAAAAGUAAGUAGAAAAAUGAAAUUGUCAACAACACACAUAAAAAGACAUCAAAAUGACACCACUAAACACUUAUCUAUAAUUACGCUGAAUGUAAAUGGACUAAAUGCACCAAUAAAGAGACAGAGAGUCUCAGACUGGAUAAAGAAACAGAAUCCAUCUGUAUGCUGCCUACGAGAGACACACCUUAGACUUAGAGACACAAACAAACUAAAACUCAAAGAAUGGAAAAAAAUAUAUCAAGCAAACAAUAAGCAAAAAAGAAGAGGAGAAGCAAUAUUAAUUUCUCACAAAAUAGACUUUAAACUUAAAUCCACCACAAAGGAUAAAGAAGGACACUACAUAAUGAUAAAAGGGACAAUUGAUCAGGAAGACAUAACCAUAUUAAAUAUUUAUGCACCCAAUGACAGGGCUGCAAGAUACAUAAAACAAAUUUUAACAGAACUGAAAAGUGAGAUAGACACCUCCACAAUUAUAGUAGGAGACUUCAACACACCACUUUCGGAGAAGGACAGGACUUCCAGUAAGAAGCUCAAUAGAGACACAGAAGACCUAAUUACAACAAUCAACCAACUUGACCUCAUUGACUUAUACAGAACUCUCCACUCAACUGCUGCAAAGUAUACUUUUUUUUCUAGCACACAUGGAACAUUCUCUAGAAUAGAUCACAUAUUAGGUCAUAAAACAAACCUUUGCAGAAUCCAAAACAUCGAAAUAUUACAGAGCAUCUUCUCAGACCACAAGGCAAUAAAAGUAGAAAUCCAUAACAGAAAAACUAGGGAAAAGAAAUCAAAUACUUGGAAACUGAAGAAUACCUCCUGAAAAAAGACUGGGCUAUAGAAGACAUUAAGGAGGGAAUAAGGAAAUCCAUAGAAUGCAACGAGAAUGAAAAUACUUCCUAUCAAAACCUCUGGGACACAGCAAAAGCAGUGCUCAGAGGCCAAUUUAUAUGGAUAAAUGCACACAUACAAAAAGAAGAAAGAGCCCAAAUCAGAGAACUGUCCCUACAACUUGAACAAAUAGAAAGUGAGCAACAAAAGAACCCAUCAGGCACCAGAAGAAAACAAAUAAUAAAAAUUAGAGCUGAACUAAAUUAGAGAACAGAAAAACAAGUGAAAGAAUUAACAAAGCCAAAAGUUGGUUCUUUGAAAAAAUUAACAAAAUUGAUAAACCAUUGGCUAGACUGACUAAAGAAAUACAGGAAAGGAAACAAAUAACCCCGAAUACGAAACCAGAAGGGCCACAUCACAACAGACCCAACUGAAAUUAAAAGAAUCAUAUCGGAUUAUUAUGAAAAAUUGUACUCUAACAAAUUUGAAAACCUAGAAGAAAUGGAUGAAUUCCUGGAAAAACACUACCUACCUAAACUAACACAAUCAGAAGUAGAACAACUAAAUAGACCCAUAACAAAAAAAGAGAUUGAAACAGUAAUCAAAAAACUCCCAACAAAAAAAAGCCCUGGCCCGGAUGGCUAUACUGCAGAGUUCUACCAAACUUUCAGAGAAGAGAUAACACCACUACUACUAAAAGUAUUUCAAAGCAUAGAAAAUGACGGAAUACUACCCAACUCAUUCUAUGAAGCCACCAUCUCCCUGAUACCAAAACCAGGUAAAGACAUCACAAAAAAAGACAAUUACAGACCUAUAUCCCUCAUGAACAUAGAUGCAAAAAUCCUCAACAAAAUUCUAGCCAGUAGAAUUCAACAACAUAUCAAACAAAUAAUUCACCACGACCAAGUGAGAUUUAUACCAGGUAUGCAAGGCUGGUUUAAUAUUAAAAAAACCAUUAAUGUAAUCCACCAUAUAAAUAAAACAAAAGACAAAAACCACAUGAUCUUAUCAAUUGAUGCAGAAAAGGCAUUUGACAAAGUCCAACACCCAUUUAUGAUAAAAACUCUCACCAAAAGAGCAAUUGAAGGAAAAUUCCUCAAUAUAAUAAAGGGCAUCUAUGCAAAGCCAACAGCCAAUAUCACUCUAAAUGGACAGAGCCUGAAAGCAUUUCCCUUGAGAAUGGGAACCAGACAAGGAUGCCCUUUAUCACCGCUCUUAUUCAACAUUGUGCUAGAAGUCCUAGCCAGAGCAAUUAGGCUAGACAAAGAAAUAAAGGGCAUCUGGAUUGGCAAAGAGGAAGUAAAAUUAUCUCUAUUUGCAGAUGGCAUGAUCUUAUACACAGAAAACCCCAAGGAAUCCUCCAGAAAACUACUGAAACUAAUAGAAGAGUUUGGAAGAGUCUCAGGUUAUAAGAUAAACAUACAAAAAUCACUUGGAUUCCUCUACAUCAACAACAAGAACAUCGAAGAGGAAAUAACCAAAUCAAUACCAUUCACAGUAGCCCCCAAGAAGAUAAAAUACUUAGAAAUAAAUCUUACCAAGGAUGUAAAAGGCCUAUACGAAGAAAACUACAAAGUUCUACUACAAGAAAUUCAAAAGGACAUACUUAAGUGGAAAAACAUACCUUGCUCAUGGAUAGGAAGACUUAACAUAGUAAAAAUGUCUAUUCUACCAAAAGCCAUCUAUACAUACAAUGCACUUCCGAUCCAAAUUCCAAUGUCAUUUUUUAAGGUGAUAGAGAAACAAAUCACCAACUUCAUAUGGAAGGGAAAGAAGCCUUGGAUAAGCAAAGCAUUACCGAAAAAGAAGAAGAAAGUGGGAGGCCUCACUCUACCUGAUUUCAGAACCUAUUAUACAGCCACAGUAGUCAAAACAGCCUGGUACUGGUACAACAACAGACACAUAGACCAAUGGAACAGAAUUGAGAACGCAGAGAUAAAUCCAUCCACAUAUGAGCAGCUGAUAUUUGACAAAGGCCCAGUGUCAGUUAAUUGGGGAAAAGAUAGUCUUUUUAACAAAUGGUACUGGCAUAACUGGAUAUCCAUUUGCAAAAAAAUGAAACAGGACCCAUACCUCACACCAAGCACAAAAACUAACUCCAAGUGGAUCAAAGACCUAAAUAUAAAGACUAAAACGAUAAAGAUUAUGGAAGAAAAAAUAGGGACAACCUUAGGAGCCCUAAUACAAGGCAUAAACAGAAUACAGAACAUUACCAAAAAUGACGAAGAGAAACCAGAUACCUGGGAGCUCCUAAAAAUCAAACACCUAUGCUCAUCUAAAGACUUCACCAAAAGAGUAAAAAGACCACCUACAGACUGGGAAAGAAUUUUCAGCUAUGACAUCUCCGACCAGCGCCUGAUCUCUAAAAUCUACAUGAUUCUGUCAAAACUCAACCACAAAAAGACAAACAACCCAAUUAAGACGUGGGCAAAGGAUAUGAACACACACUUCACUAAAGAAGAUAUUCAGGCAGCUAACAGAUACAUGAGAAAACGCUCUCGAUCAUUAGCCAUUAGAGAAAUGCAAAUUAAAACUACGAUGAGAUUCCAUCUCACUCCAACAAGGCUGGCAUUAAUCCAAAAAACACCAAAUAAUAAAUGUUGGAGAGGCUGCGGAGAGAUUGGAACUCUUAUACACUGCUGGUGGGAAUGGAAAAUGGUACAACCACUUUGGAAAUCUAUCUGGCGUUAUCUUAAACAGUUAGAAAUAGAACUACCAUACAACCCAGAAAUCCCACUCCUCGGAAUAUACCCUAGAGAAAUAAGAGCCUUCACACAAACGGAUAUAUGCACACCCAUGUUUAUUGCAGCUCUGUUUACAAUAGCAAAAAGCUGGAAGCAACCAAGGUGUCCAUCAACGGAUGAAUGGUUAAAUAAAUUGUGGUAUAUUCACACAAUGGAAUACUACGCAUCGAUAAAGAACAGUGACGAAUCUCUGAAACAUUUCAUAACAUGGAGGAACCUGGAAGGGAUUAUGCUGAGCGAAAUUAGUCAGAGGCAAAAGGACAAAUAUUGUAUAAGACCACUAUUAAAAGAUCUUGAGAAAUAGUAUAAACUGAGAAGAACACAUAGUUUUGUGGUUACGAGGAGGAGAGGGAGGGAGGGUGG